rnacentral:rRNA from 1 species
GCNUGAUCAGCAACGCCGCGUGAGGGAUGAAGGCCUUCGGGUUGUAAACCGUCUUUCAGCAGGGAAGAAAAUGACGGUGACCUGUACCAUGAAGGAGACGGCCCAGUAUAAUGUACAGUAGCCGCCGCCGACACUAUAUAGGACAAGGCGCUUGUCCUGAUCUCUAUAGUUACUGAACAUCUAGAUAUUCGUGAUCGGUUUGUCGCGGCGAAAACUAUAAGCCUCAACCUCAAGUACUCACUUGAUACCGAUGCGACUAGACUUCAGUAGGGCAGGGGAGAAUGUCCUUCGUGGCGGUGAAAUGCGCUGAUCUUAUGACGAACACAACUGCCGAAGGCACCGCUCUGCUCCGUAACUGACGCUAAGCUAGAGAAACCGUGGCGUGCAAACAGGAUUAGAUACCCUGCUAGUCCACUCCAUACACUAUACGCACUACGCGUGGUUCUCAUUCCAUCAAAUGCACGCCGGCCCUAACUCAUUAAUUGCCCCCCCCGGCUAGUACGGACGCACGACUAAAACUCAC